rnacentral:rRNA from 1 species
ACUCUGUUGUUGGAGAAGAACGUGCGUGAGAGUAACUGCUCACGCAGUGACGGUAUCCAACCAGAAAGUCACGGCUAACUACGUGCCAGCAGCCGCGGUAAUACGUAGGUGGCAAGCGUUAUCCGGAUUUAUUGGGCGUAAAGCGAGCGCAGGCGGUUGCUUAGGUCUGAUGUGAAAGCCUUCGGCUUAACCGAAGAAGUGCAUCGGAAACCGGGCAACUUGAGUGCAGAAGAGGACAGUGGAACUCCAUGUGUAGCGGUGAA